GUCCCGUUUCUGGCAGUGCUGAUGCAACAGCACUUUGACUGAAAAAAAAUGCAUGACCAUAAGCCCUGAUUCUGCCAUGUGGCACACACACACACACACAGCGUCGCUGCAGGGCUGGGAUAUUAGGUCACAUUUAAAUGAUUUUAUCUAUUCCAGAAACAGUGAAGAUAGAAGUUAAUCAUUCUGAUCCAACUAAAAUUCAUUCUUAUCCAAGAUUUCAUUCCCAGGAGAAUUUUGACAUUUGAAAGGGACUGUGUUGCCGCUCAGACGGAAAGAAUAACAUGACAGCUUGACAGGCUACGUAUGUGUUACAGGUUGUACCAAUAUGAAAGCAGCAAGAUAGCGCACAAAAGAUAUCACUGGAAAUGCAGCCUGGAUCAAACAUGACAGGCUGGGAGGUGCUACGUAAUCAUGAGAAGGAAAUGGCCAGAGAUCAUCUGGGUCAUCUAGUUCAGAUUCAAGGAAACCGUGGUGCUGUACAUCCCAGCACUGGUAACUGACCUCCAGAAGCAUUGGCUCCCGCCUCUUGUUUCGUAGCCAGUAAUGCACGGCCUGCGUCACAUCAAAGUUCUUCCAGCCUGACUCUUGUAUGGGAACCAGCCUGUGCGACAAGG